rnacentral:rRNA from 1 species
CUACGGAGGGUGCGAGCGUUAAUCGGAAUUACUGGGCGUAAAGGGUGCGUAGGCGGCUUGAUAAGUCGGAUGUGAAAGCCCCGGGCUUAACCUGGGAAUUGCAUUCGAUACUGUCAGGCUAGAGUAUGUCAGAGGUUGGCGGAAUUCCUGGUGUAGCGGUGAAAUGCGUAGAUAUCAGGAGGAACACCAGUGGCGAAGGCGGCUAACUGGGACAAUACUGACGCUGAGGCACGAAAGCGUGGGGAGCAAACAGGAUUAGAAACCCCAGUAGUCC